UACGUAGGGUGCAAGCGUUAUCCGGAAUUACUGGGCGUAAAGAGCUCGUAGGUGGUUUGUCGCGUUGUCCGUGAAAACUCACAACUCAAUUGUGGGCGUGCGGGCGAUACGGGCAGACUGGAGUACUGCAGGGGAGACUGGAAUUCCUGGUGUAGCGGUGGAAUGCGCAGAUAUCAGGAGGAACACCGGUGGCGAAGGCGGGUCUCUGGGCAGUAACUGACGCUGAGGCACGAAAGCCAGGGGAGCAAACGGG
rnacentral:rRNA from 1 species